rnacentral:lncRNA from 1 species
GUUGGAGCUAGGGUUAGGGUUGGGCUUGGAGCUAGGAUUUUUCUGAGUGCAAUGAACCAACUCCCGAGUCUCUAGGACGUUCCUAAAAAAAUUUGAUUUUUUCCCAUAGGAAUGCAUGGGUUAGGGUUAGGGUUAGGGUUGGAGCUAGGGUUAGGGUUAGGGUUAGGGUUGGAGUUAGGGUUAGUGUUGGAGCUAGGGUUAGGGUUGGGCUUGGAGCUAGGAUUUUUCUGAGUGCACUGAACCAACUCCCGAGUCUCUAGGACAUUCCUAAAAAAAUUGAUUUUUUCCCAUAGGAAUGCAUGGGUUAGGGUUAUGGUUAGGGUUAGGGUUGGAGCUAGGGUUAGGGUUAGGGUUGGAGUUAGGGUUAGUGUUGGAGCUAGGGUUAGGGUUGGGCUUGGAGCUAGGAUUUUUCUGAGUGCACUGAACCAACUCCCGAGUCUCUAGGACGUUCCUAAAAAAAUUUGAUUUUUUCCCAUAGGAAUGCAUGGGUUAGGGUUAGGGUUAGGGUUGGAGCUAGGGUUAGGGUUAGGGUUAGGGUUGGAGUUAGGGUUAGUGUUGGAGCUAGGGUUAGGGUUGGGCUUGGAGCUAGGAUUUUUCUGAGUGCACUGAACCAACUCCCGAGUCUCUAGGACAUUCCUAAAAAAAUUAGAUUUUUUUCCCAUAGGAAUGCAUGGGUUAGGGUUAUGGUUAGGGUUAGGGUUGGAGCUAGGGUCAGGGUGAGGGUUAGGGUUGGAGUUAGGGUUAGUGUUGGAGCUAGGGUUAGGGUUGGGCUUGGAGCUAGGAUUUUUCUGAGUGCAAUGAACCAACUCCCGAGUCUCUAGGACGGUCCUAAAAAAUUUGAUUUUUUCCCAUAGGAAUGCAUGGGUUAGGGUUAGGGUUAGGGUUGGAGCUAGGGUUAGGGUUGGAGCUAGGGUUAGGGUUAGGGUUGGAGUUAGGGUUAGUGUUGGAGCUAGGGUUAGGGUUGGGCUUGGAGCUAGGAUUUUUCUGAGUGCACUGAACCAACUCCCGAGUCUCUAGGACAUUCCUAAAAAAAUUUGAUUUUUUCCCAUAGGAAUGCAUGGGUUAGGGUUAGGGUUAGGGUUGGAGCUAGGGUUAGGGUUAGGGUUAGGGUUGGAGUUAGGGUUAGUGUUGGAGCUAGGGUUAGGGUUGGGCUUGGAGCUAGGAUUUUUCUGAGUGCACUGAACCAACUCCCGAGUCUCUAGGACAUUCCUAAAAAAAAUUUGAUUUUUUCCCAUAGGAAUGCAUGGGUUAGGGUUAUGGUUAGGGUUAGGGUUGGAGCUAGGGUUAGGGUUAGGGUUAGGGUUGGAGUUAGGGUUAGUGUUGGAGCUAGGGUUAGGGUUGGGCUUGGAGCUAGGAUUUUUCUGAGUGCAAUGAACCAACUCCCGAGUCUCUAGGACGUUCCUAAAAAAUUUUGAUUUUUUCCCAUAGGAAUGCAUGGGUUAGGGUUAGGGUUAGGGUUGGAGCUAGGGUUAGGGUUAGGGUUAGGGUUGGAGUUAGGGUUAGUGUUGGAGCUAGGGUUAGGGUUGGGCUUGGAGCUAGGAUUUUUCUGAGUGCACUGAACCAACUCCCGAGUCUCUAGGAAAUUCCUAAAAAAAUUUGAUUUUUUUCCCAUAGGAAUGCAUGGGUUAGGGUUAUGGUUAGGGUUAGGGUUGGAGCUAGGGUUAGGGUUAGGGUUAGGGUUGGAGUUAGGGUUAGUGUUGGAGCUAGGGUUAGGGUUGGGCUUGGAGCUAGGAUUUUUCUGAGUGCAAUGAACCAACUCCCGAGUCUCUAGGACGUUCCUAAAAAAAUUUGAUUUUUUCCCAUAGGAAUGCAUGGGUUAGGGUUAGGGUUAGGGUUGGAGCUAGGGUUAGGGUUAGGGUUAGGGUUAGGGUUGGAGUUAGGGUUAGUGUUGGAGCUAGGGUUAGGGUUGGGCUUGGAGCUAGGAUUUUUCUGAGUGCACUGAACCAACUCCCGAGUCUCUAGGACGUUCCUAAAAAAAUUUGAUUUUUUCCCAUAGGAAUGCAUGGGUUAGGGUUAGGGUUAGGGUUGGAGCUAGGGUUAGGGUUAGGGUUAGGGUUGGAGUUAGGGUUAGUGUUGGAGCUAGGGUUAGGGUUGGGCUUGGAGCUAGGAUUUUUCUGAGUGCACUGAACCAACUCCCGAGUCUCUAGGACAUUCCUAAAAAAAUUUGAUUUUUUUCCCAUAGGAAUGCAUGGGUUAGGGUUAUGGUUAGGGUUAGGGUUGGAGCUAGGGUUAGGGUUAGGGUUAGGGUUGGAGUUAGGGUUAGUGUUGGAGCUAGGGUUAGGGUUUGGCUUGGAGCUAGGAUUUUUCUGAGUGCAAUGAACCAACUCCCGAGUCUCUAGGACGUUCCUAAAAAAAUUUGAUUUUUUCCCAUAGGAAUGCAUGGGUUAGGGUUAGGGUUAGGGUUGGAGCUAGGGUUAGGGUUGGAGCUAGGGUUAGGGUUAGGGUUGGAGUUAGGGUUAGUGUUGGAGCUAGGGUUAGGGUUGGGCUUGGAGCUAGGAUUUUUCUGAGUGCACUGAACAUACUCCCGAGUCUCUAGGACAUUCCUAAAAAAAUUUGAUUUUUUCCCAUAGGAAUGCAUGGGUUAGGGUUAUGGUUAGGGUUAGGGUUGGAGCUAGGGUUAGGGUUAGGGUUAGGGUUGGAGUUAGGGUUAGUGUUGGAGCUAGGGUUAGGGUUGGGCUUGGAGCUAGGAUUUUUCUGAGUGCACUGAACCAACUCCCGAGUCUCUAGGACAUUCCUAAAAAAAUUGAUUUUUUCCCAUAGGAAUGCAUGGGUUAGGGUUAUGGUUAGGGUUAGGGUUGGAGCUAGGGUUAGGGUUAGGGUUAGGGUUGGAGUUAAGGUUAGUGUUGGAGCUAGGGUUAGGGUUGGGCUUGGAGCUAGGAUUUUUCUGAGUGCACUGAACCAACUCC